rnacentral:lncRNA from 1 species
AGCUGAUCGGCUGCUGCAGAAGAACACAGCCCCGUACAUAUAUGACAGCCAGAGAUCUGCAUCUAGGAGUGCUUGGAAUAUUCAAGAAUGCUCGUCACUUCUUCCUGGUGUUUAGUUAUCAAUAUGAUACAGAAAGAACACCAAUCAAGUCAGGAUUGAACCUUCAUCACAGGAUCUCGACUGCAAAGGGUUGUUCCAAACAACCCCAUCACAGUGGCUGGCACAUGGGGAAGGAGUUUGUGGGGACAAGCUCCAUCGUGAUGAUGGACACAACGUUAGCUCAGCCUCUGACUUCCACUCUUUCCUUGGAAGAGGGGAUCAUAAAAACCAACUCAAGCAACCUUGGAAACAAUGACAAUCCAAAAGGCCUCUGCAUGUUGUAUUUGG